rnacentral:lncRNA from 1 species
AUGAUCGUGUUCAAUUCCCACUCACACAGGCAGAAAGAAAUCCUGACACUUCACAGGUCGAGGCUGCAAACCUUGGCCCUGCCUGACACUGACACAAUCGGACUUCAGAAAACAUCAUCUCUGUGUUCUUUGAGAGGAAAAAUGGGCUUGCCAAGUAUCGAUGUACUCCAUUAACCCACUUUAUCAGAUGAUGACUGAGGAAUUCGGAAAAACAAGGAUAUUCAUUACUCAGACCCUGCUUGCAGAGUUGAUGAUUCCUUAAGACUGCAAUGACCGAUGUGCUGAGACAACACAGGCUGAAAGGCAUCUAAUAAACCAUUCAACCAAUAGUAAACCGUAUCAAUGGAUCAUCAAGACAAGACCUAAUAGUGCACAGAGUCAAAAGACUUGCAGCUUAAUCUACAAGUACAUAAUACAGAAUCGUAGAAUCAUAGAACCACAGAAUCAUCAUCACGUAUCUGCAGAAAAGGAGGUAUUCCAUCAAAAUCAGUAGUAUCUCUUUGGAACAAGAUUAGCAUCGAUAAGAGAUUAUGUAGCCCACCUCUUGCCUUGGUUUACCCUGAAAGUGUUUUAAACUUACCAGUUAUACUUUGGUAGUGAUUGUUUUGUCAUAGAAGUGCUAAAUGAGAAAUGUUCUUCUGGGUAGUGACAGCUCUUGUUUUAAGGCACGGGUACAUGAACAUGGACUAGAAGGAGUAGUUUUAAUGCCAAUCCUUGGAUCACAGUUGGCCAUGCAAUGAAUAAUGACUUCAUAAAAUAAUUCUCCAGCUCUCUCCUAAGAAAGUACUUGAUUCACUUAUUCCUUCGACCCCACUUGGAAGCUUAUUCUAGAAUAUCACUGCUGUAAUGGUAGGAAACUUAUGAUUUCUAGUCUAAAUAUAUCCAGGGGAAGUUUCUCCUUGGGAAGAAGAAAAGCUAUUUAGGAACAAUAACUGAUAUAUAUUGACAUAUAUUCCCUUACUUACUCAGGUCUUAUUCACAGAAGAAGACUGUCAUUCCUACAAAUCUUCUAGCUUGUUUAAAUAAUCAGGAUCUUUCUGUCUCCCUUUCUUUGCCUUCUUUUAUCAAUCUCACUACAAAUUACUGAAACUACGAGGCAUUAAUAUUAACAGGUUUUUUGUGGUUUCUUUAAAGCAAAAUUUGG